rnacentral:misc_RNA from 1 species
GAGUUUUGAUAUGAUUUUGGGAGUAGAUUGGCUAAAAAGCUUUAAUCCAAUAUUAUUUGAUUUCAAGGCUUCUAAAAUUUCUUUUAAGAAGGAAGGAAAAGAAGUGGUAUUGCAAGGAGUAGGGAAGGCAAGGGCAGCACUUGUUUUAUAUGCUAUUGAGAGUUUCUUUCAGUAGAAAAGGAUGAAUUUCAAGUCCCCACUAUUGUAUGUAUUGAAUUCUUUGACAACAGCAGGUGCUUCAUCAUCUGACAGUCAACCUGUAGUUACAGAAGGAGCUACACUGACCUCUGAGGAGAAUGAAAAAUUGCAGUCACUGUUGCAACAAUAUAAUGAGAUAUUUCAGGAACCUCAUGAAUUGCCACCAUUUAGGAGGUAUAAUCAUAUCAUUCCUUUGCUGCCCCAUACUCAACCAGUUAAUAUCAGGCCAUAUAGGUAU